AUAACAUUCGGAUCGUCGGUAUACCGAGCAAUCUCACCCGCUCGGUGGAAGAUCUUCCCUAUGUCGA
rnacentral:pre_miRNA from 1 species